rnacentral:sRNA from 1 species
GGAGGCUCGGGUUCGAUUCCCGGUACG